AGGCCAGACUCCUACGGGAGGCAGCAGUGGGGAAUAUUGCACAAUGGGGGGAACCCUGAUGCAGCGACGCCGCGUGGGUGAAGGAGUACUUCGGUACGUAAAGCCCUAUCAGCAGGAAAGAAAAUGACGGUACCUGACUAAGAAGCCCCGGCUAACUACGUGCCAGCAGCCGCGGUAAUACGUAGGGGGCAAGCGUUAUCCGGAUUUACUGGGUGUAAAGGGAGCGUAGACGGCAGUGCAAGUCCGGAGUGAAGGCCCGGGGCUCAACCCUGGGACUGCUCUGGAAACUGUAAAGCUGGAGUGCGGGAGGGGCAGGCGGAAUUCCUGGUGUAGCGGUGAAAUGCGUAGAGAUCAAGAGGAAUACUCAUUGCGAAGGCGACCUGCUAGAACAUAACUGACGCUGAUGCGCGAAAGCGUGGGGAGCAAACAGGAUUAGAUACCCUGGUA
rnacentral:rRNA from 1 species